GCCGGGCACAUUGGCGAUCGCCUGUAAUCCCAGUGGCUAGGGAGGCUGAGGCAGGAGGAUCAUGAGUUCAAAGCCAGCCUCAGCAAGGGCAAGGUGCUAAGCAACUCAGUGAGACCCUGUUUCUA
rnacentral:sRNA from 1 species